GCUUACGGCCAUACCACCCUGAAUGCGCCCUAUCUCGUCUGAUCUCGGAAGCUAAGCAGGGUCAGGCCAGGUUAGU
rnacentral:rRNA from 1 species